GGAGGGCCCUGCUCAAUGAUCAUGGAAGCAUGGCAGCAGUAGUUCUGACAGCAGGUACCUGUGUGUUCUUUUUCAGAAGCCUGUGUGUGUGUGUAUUCAGCAGUCUGUAUGUGUGUAAUCCGGUGUCUGUGUAUGUAUUCAACAGUCUGUGUAUUUAGCAACAUGCGUAUGUAUGCAGAAGUCUAAUGGGAGAAGGGUGAAAGAAAUAGAACUAGAAUAUCCAUCUCUGUUAAUAAGUAACCUGUGCACGCAUUGCUACACACUAUAUACACAGUAACAGACACACACUCACAGUAUACAGACACUGACACACGGUCAC